rnacentral:rRNA from 1 species
GGGGGAAAAUUAGUAUAAAAUUAAAAUAAUAAAAAUAAUUUUAAAGAAAUAAUAUGAUAAUUGGGGGAUUAGAGUAUUUUUUAUAGAAAAAAUUAUAUAUUUUAUAGUGAAUUAGUAUUGUGAAAGAAUUUUGAAAUAGUUGAAAAUUAAUUAUUUUAAAAGUAAAUUUUAAUUAUUGUAUCUUGUGUAUCAGAGUUUAUUAAUUAAUAAUUUUUUAAUAAAUAUUUCUCGAAUUUAAAAGAGUUAAUUAAUUAAUAAAUUUAUUGUAGCAAAAAUAUUUUUAAUAAUUAAUUAGAAAUGAAAUGUUAAUCGUUUUUAAAAAUAUCUAGUUUUUUUAGAAAAAAAUUUAAUUUUAAAUUUUAUUAAAAUAAAAAAAAAUUAAUUAAAAAAUUUUUUUUUAUAUAAAAUUUAAUAUUUUAAGGGAUAAGCUUUAAUUUAAAUUUUUAAAAAAUAUAAAGUAAAUUUGAAAAUUUUAAAAUUUAUAUUAUUUAUAAAUUAUAGUUUUUUAUAAAUAAUUUCAUUAAAAAUAAAAUUUAAUUUAAAUUUAAUUUUUUUAUAAAAAAAUAAAAUUUAUUUAAAUAAUUUUAUUUAUAAUGAUAAAAUUAGUAUAAAAUAAUAAAUUAAUGGUUAUAUUUAAAAUAUUUGAAAAUUAAUAAUUAGGAAUUCGGCAAAAAUUUAUAUUCACUUGUUUAUCAAAAACAUGUCUUUUUGAUUAAUAAUUUAAAGUCUAAUCUGCCCACUGAUAAAUAAUUAAAGGGCUGCAGUAUUUUGACUGUACAAAGGUAGCAUAAUCAUUAGUCUCUUAAUUGGUGACUUGUAUGAAAGAUUGGAUGAGAUAUAAACUGUCUUAUAUUUAUUUUUAAAAUUUAAUUUUUUAAUUAAAAAGUUAAAAUAUUUUUAAAAGACGAGAAGACCCUAUAGAGUUUAAUAUGUGUUUUAAUUAUAAAUUUAUAUAUUAAUUUAAAAUUUAAAUUAAAAUAUAUAUUUUGUUGGGGUGAUAAAAAAAUAAAAAUAACUUUUUUUAUAAUAUAUAUAUAUAUAUAUAUAUAACAUAUAUAAAUGAUUAAAUGAUCCAUAAAUUAUGAUUAAAAGAUUAAAUUACCUUAGGGAUAACAGCGUAAUUUUUUUUUUUAGUUCGAAUAAGAAAAAAAGUUUGCGACCUCGAUGUUGGAUUAAGAUAAAAUUUAAAUGCAAAAGUUUAAAAUUUUGAUCUGUUCGAUCAUUAAAAUCUUACAUGAUCUGAGUUCAAACCGGUGUAAGCCAGGUUGGUUUCUAUCUUUAAAAAAUUAGAAUAUUUUAGUACGAAAGGAUCAAAUAUUUAAAAUAAUUUUAUUAUUAAGAAUUUUAUUAAAUUAAUUAUAAAAAUUAUAUUAA